rnacentral:misc_RNA from 1 species
UUAUGAAUACUUGCCAAAUGGAAGUUUGGACUUGUUUCUAUUUGGUGAGUCUUCUAAUUUUUCUAUUGCUCUGUUUUAUGUUGGUUGCCUAAUUGUGUCUCCUUUAAGGGAUAUGAUUAAGGUACAAAGAUUAUAUAUAUAAUUUAACACUAACUCUUUGGAAAAUUUCAAAAUUUUUAAGAUCCAACUAGAAGUUUAUUAUUGAAUUGGAGUAAACGCUUCGAAAUUAUAGUUGGAAUUGCACGCGGAAUCUUAUAUCUCCACCAAGACUCAAGGUUACGAAUCAUCCAUAGAGAUUUAAAAA